rnacentral:lncRNA from 10 species
AGACAGGGUUCUUCCCCACUGUUGUCCAUGCUAGAGUGCAGCGGUGCAAUCAUGGCUUACUGCAGCCUCCACCUCCUGGGUUGAGUGUUCCUCCCUCUUCAGCCCCCCAAGUAACUGGGAUUAUAGGCGUGAGCCACUGUGUCUGACUUAUAAUGAGCAUUUUGAGGAAGGAGUCAUGUAAAGGUGCUGCCUACCAUUAAAAAACUAGAAACUCCACAUCAGUAGAACGUUUCUGUAUGUGUACUUACAUAUAAACAAAUCCCCUAAACUCCUACUGCCCAGAAAAACUGUUAAUAUGUGUUAUGGAAGAGUGCAGUGGCUCACGCCUGUAAUCCCAGCUCUUAGCGAGGCAGAGGCUGGAGGAUAGCUUGAGCUCAGGAGUUCGAGACCUGCCUGGGCAAUAUAUCAGGACGCUGUUCUCCACAAAAAGGAAAAAACAAAGACAAAAAAUGUGUUACGUAUGUAAAUACAUCUAAAGAAGAAUCACACUGUGCUACUGCUUUUUUAUUCUUCACUCACUGCUAUAUUAAAACCAUUUUUCUAUGUCAAUAAAAAUCUAUAUCAUUGGCCAGGCAUGGUGGCUCAUGCUUGUAAUUCCAGCACUUUGAGAGGCCAAGGUGGGCAAAAUCACCUGAGGUCAAGAGUUCGACACCAGCCUGGCCAACAUGGUGAAACCCCAUCUCUACUAAAAUACAAAAAUUAGCCAGGCUUAGUGGCGGGUGCGUGUAAUCCUUGUUAUUCAGGAGGCUGAGGCAGAAGAAUUACUUGAACCCGGGAGGCGGAGGUCGCAGUGAGCCUAGACUGCACCAUUGCAUUCCAGCCUGGGCAACAAGAGCGAGACUCCAUCUCAAAAAACAAAAACAAAACUAUAUCAUUUUUUAGGGGCUGAAUACAGUUACAUUAUAUAGCUAAUCACAUGCAUGUAACCAGUUCCAUUUUCUUGAACAUCAAGACAGUGGUGCAUAUAAACAUCUUUGCCUGUGAAUCUGUGUUCACAUGUCCAUUUACCUCUAGAACGAAUACAUUGAAGUGGAAUUGAGUCCAUAAGAGUGUACAGGUAGCAAGGCUGUCCAGGAAAGUUGUACUGAUCCACUAUGCUGUGGCCCCGUGCUGUGGACGGAGUGUCACCAAGUGAGAGUGGUUUGCCAGGAGGUUUUACUAAAAUUCAGCAUGAUAUAAAUUGCACAGUAAUUGUCAUCAUCAUAGUUCCUAGAGGCCUUAGUACUUUUAGGUUUAGAACCAUUCUUUGAGUCCUGUCUGCCUUUUGAUUUUGCUUCUGCUUAAGAGCAACAGUGUCACCGGGUGCGGUGGCACUUGCCUGUAAUCGCAGCACUUUGGGAGGCCGAGGCAGGUGGAUCACGAGAUCAUGAGAUCAAGACCACCCUGGCUAACACGGUGAAACCCCG